rnacentral:rRNA from 1 species
GAUGGACGCUGGCGGCGUGCUUAACACAUGCAAGUCGAACGGAAAGGCCCAAGCUUGCUUGGGUACUCGAGUGGCGAACGGGUGAGUAACACGUGGGUGAUCUGCCCUGCACUUCGGGAUAAGCCUGGGAAACUGGGUCUAAUACCGGAUAGGACCACUUCUUGGAUGUUGUGGGGGAAAGUUUUUUCGGUGUGGGAUGAGCUCGCGGCCUAUCAGCUUGUUGGUGGGGUAAUGGCCUACCAAGGCGUCGACGGGUAGCCGGCCUGAGAGGGUGUACGGCCACAUUGGGACUGAGAUACGGCCCAGACUCCUACGGGAGGCAGCAGUGGGGAAUAUUGCACAAUGGGCGCAAGCCUGAUGCAGCGACGCCGCGUGGGGGAUGACGGCCUUCGGGUUGUAAACUCCUUUCGCUAGGGACGAAGCGUUUUGUGACGGUACCUGGAGAAGAAGCACCGGCUAACUACGUG